GGUGAGCUACAUUCCCAGCCUGGUGACAGUUCUUUCUAAACUGUGUCUAGAGCAAGUGUCCCUACCCAACACGACUUCUAGCCCCUCUGACUCAGAACAACUAACUCUGUUUCUCUCCAGCCCCCUGGAGACAUCCCUGUUGAAAACCCAGUUCAAUAACCAGUGAAACCCCAGGUUAGGCCCCUCACUCUUAAGGAUGAUAAAUCGCAGGGCUUACUACCCUCUCACCUCCCACUCAAUACUCAGGGAACUCAGAAGAGGGGGAAAUGGGAGCUCACAGCCAGUAAGUCAAUAGCAGGGUCCUGUUGCGCUCAAGUGGGACAGCAGCAGGUCAGGGUGGUCUCAGCUCCCUGUCCCCUGGUGCCACAUCUUUGUUAGUACUGAGCCCGGACAGUGUUCUCACUGUUGGGUUAUUGUCCAAAAGAUUGGGCCCAUUACUCCCUGCCCAGCCCUGGGGUAGUGUCAAGUGUCACAUGUGGCAUGUGAAGGCCCAGUUUACAGUAUUUUCCCAGAGUGACCCUGGGGCUAGUCCUGGUGACCUGACAAGCCCAUAGUCUCCCCUGGGUCUGAUGGGCACAUAAACACCCCAUCCUCCAAUUCUGCAAACAGAGGGCCCCAUUCCUGGGAAGGCCCCCUGUUGCUGGCUAUUCUUGUAAUUAGUGACUGUUGAUUGGCCCCAGAGCCAUACUCAUUAUGCCUAGUGAAGAUCAAAGGUAAGCCCAAUAAUCUGCUAAACGAGCUGUCAGAUUAGGCAUUCUUCAGUGCUAUUAGAAAGAUUUUUCCCCCUGGGUAAAGGCCUGUCAGGGCAUAUGACCCCAACAUCCACCACAAACUGAACUAGAGGGGACUUUACAAGCUUCCUUCUCUUCUUCAUUCACUUGUGGCCUUUUAAUGGUCCCAUCCCAUGGCAGGGGCCCAAGCAUGAUCCCUGAGGGGGCUGUGAGGUAGAGAGGGAUCCCUCCCUGCCAAGACGGCCAUGUUUGAGCAGAGGCAUUUAUACCUCUUCAUCUUUGGGGUUACUGUAGGCUUCCCCGAGCUCACGUGCCUUUGCCUGUAUGACAGACACAUGGACUCAGUGUCUCUUUAGAGGCUGAGGGUCAUUUUAAGUUUCUUUUUUUUUUUUCUUUUUUUCGGAGCUGGGGACCGAACCCAGGGCCUUGCGCUUGCUAGGCAAGUGCUCUACCACUGAGCUAAAUCCCCAACCCCUCUGAGCUAAAUCCCCAACCCCAACUGAGGGUCAUUUUAAUGUUGACUGCCCAUCUUUCAGGAGCUAGCCUGAGACUGAUCUGUGUGCUAACAUUUCAAAUCUGGGGCCACGGCUCCACUUUCUCACUUCAGGAGUGGGAACACAGGCCCAGUCUUCAGCAUCAGUACCUGUAGCUGUUGGUCAAGUCAGAGUGUGCUGGGCACUGUGUUAAGAGACUAAAUGUUGAUCUUAUUUAUACUGUCUGAAAACAUUACAUGUGAGAUAUUGGGAACAUCCUCUUUAGUACAUAAGAAGAGUGAGGCUCAAUAAUUGGAUCAAACCACUCAACUUCGCAGUAGUUCUAAGGGUGGAACCCAAUUGGAUCCAGGCACGUGACCAGAUUGGCCAAUGAGAAAGUAUCGGCCACCAGAUUUCAGAUUUGCAAGGGAGGCCCUGGGGGGUCUUUUUGUUGUUGUUGUUGUAGGUGGUUUGAGGAUGGGAAGUAAGAGCUGCUGAAGAAGCUAUUUCUCUCACACUGUAGAAUCCACGGUUCUUCCACGGUUCUUUGAGGGAGAUGCACUGUGAGACCAUGUGCAGCCAACAGCACGACUCUUUGGAACCGUCGUGUGAGCUGAGCUAAGCGCACACACACGUUGCCUCAACUGCUUAACUUGUUCCAGUUGGGUUUUCUGGGGUUUCUCAGCGGAACAACCGGCACACAAUCUACUCACGAUAUCUCUGGCCCUCAACCUGUCCAUUGUUCUGACCUUUAGGAAGGACCCUGGGCAAGGCUGACAGGAAGCCAGGAGACACUGAAAGCAGGCACAGCAGUCAGCCCUUUUCAGUGGUUAACACAUGUUCUGCUGGUGCUGUCAGCCUGGCCACACUACGGCCCCACCUGUUACCUCUGUAACCACCUCUGUCGGUCACCAUGGUCCAGGCUCCGUCCACUGCUCUCCACAAUCCCUUAUCCUGUCUGAUCCAGUUCUGUCGUAGGCCAUAGUGUUGGUUAGGAUUAGUGUUGACAGCAUUCAAAGCAAUAGUAAUAUGAACAAGAAGGCCGCUUCUACACAGAGGGUGUUAAAAAAAUGCUUUAAAAUCUUUUCUUUCUUUCUUUCUUUCUUUCUUUCUUUCUUUCUUUCUUUCUUUCUUUCUUUCUUUGCAUGUGUGUAUGUGUGUGUGUUUGCACACAUGUGCCUACCACUACAUGUGUGUAGAUGUCAGACUACAACUUGUGUGGUAACACUCUUUAUGCUGAUCAGUCCUAAUUGUCAACUUGACAUAUUCUAGAGUCACUUGGGAAUGGGCCUUUGGACAUUUUCCACUCCUGUAUAAAAUAAAUAAAUAAAUAAACAAACAAACAAACAAACAGUACUAAAGUCACAGUUAGGACCAGGACCAACCUUCUUUCUCUUCUACCCCUCUCUGUCCCCACAGUGUUCUGAAGUCAAUAGAUAUCUUUUAUGUCCAUGGAUUGAUUCAGUUUCUACAAAGACAGCAAGCCAUUUUGUGUCUUUUCAAGUUUAUGCCACUAGUAUCAUUGUAACUAUCCUUUUGCAACUUUUGUUGCUGUUGUGUUGACCAAAAUGUCUCUCUAGGUAUUUCCAUGUGGCUCUAAUACAUUCAGUUUACACCAUACAGACUUGUAUUAAUUCGUCUUUCCUAUUAUUGUAAUGACAUCUCUGAGGUCUGGGGAUGACGUCUGUUUAGCUCUAAGUUCUUGGGUUUUGAGGGCACAGUGCUGGAACCAACCUAGCUCUGGUGGUGGCUUUGUGGUAGAUGGCAUCAUAGUUGUAGGAGAGAGAGAGAGAGAGAGAGAGAGAGAGAGAGAGAGAGAGAGACAUAUUUAUUGUCAGAUAGGAGCCAGAACCAGGAACAGAUAUCAGAUAUACGGAUUUGCUUCUGCAUCCUUUGUGUGUGUGUUGUGGGGAGACAGGGGAGGUAUAAAUACACACCUUUGGAGGCAGGAGGAUGACACAGAGUACGUUCCUCUAUUGCUUCCCACGUUAUUUUUUGAGACAGGGUCUCUUACUGAACCUGGAGUCACCAAUUGCCUGGCCCAAUUGAGACAAACUCCAGGGAUUCGCCUCAGUGCUGGGGUGACAGGUCCAUCACCUCCCCUCCCUGGCCAGCUUCUACCUGAGUGCCAUGGGUCCAAGCUCAGGUCCUCAUGCUAAUGCAGCAACAGGGUACUCCUUGCUGAGUCAAAUCCUCAGACUCUCAGUAUUUCUGAAUGCUUGUGUCUUCCUCCAAUGAGUACUCAGAGGUGAGUUGGGGCUGGGAUCAGGGCUGUUUCCGUGUGGAAAUUAUGUCAGACCUCCUCUCGUUACUGUGAAACACAGGCUGCUGAGUCAGGCAGACAUUUGUAGGGAUGGGGGUAGGAGUUUGAGACAAGGUCUCUAUAUAGCCCUGGCCACCCUGCAAUUCUCUACAGAGGCCAGGUUGGCCUUGAACUCAUGGAGAUCCACCUACUGCUGGGAUUAAAAGGGGGUGCCACAUCCGGCCAGGCAUUUUUGUGGGAAGUUACUGUCUGAAUUUUGUGGUAGUUUGAACAGUGGUGGUGGAAAAUUUAACCUUUUGCUUUGCCAUAACUUUCUUUGUGAAUGUAUAAAAAGGUACUCAUACUCAAAAAAUAAAAAAUUUUAAUGAUCGUGAGAAAAUGAUGCUAGGACAGAUAUUCAAAGACGACUCUUUAAAGCUCCCAAGAAGCACGCCCAUCCACGAAUCAACUGCCUUGCUUGUUCCUAGCUGGUCUUUGAGGCAGUUUUCAUGGGUGCCUCGUGUGCCUCACACAUGGUCCCCGUUGCUGUAUUGGCUUGACCUAAUAAAACUGCCUUUCUCCCAAGUUCUGUGAAGAGCAGGGACUCCCUGCGGCCCAGUCUUGGGUUGUCCAGAUCAGUUUGUCAGUCUCCCUGACAGGUUCACGGCAUCACUGUUAUAUAUAGCUCUGAAGGAAGGCAUAUUCUGUCCAGACAGAAGCAAUCUAUGGGCCUAUGUAUUGAACAUGGGGUUAGGAGUCAGUGUGCACCUCCCUAGGUAGAUACACUUUACACACUUAGUGGCAACCCUGUCAUCUGGCCCCAGAGUGCAGUUACAGCUCCCCUGGGCACAAAUGGAAGUGUUCACAGUUACCCAGGACCCUAGAGAAAGGCCCCCUUCCUUUGCCCAUGUAAGAGGUCUGGGAGGAUGUUGGAGUCUGUGAUCCUUCGGGGCGUGUGAGACUAUCAUGGAGGGUACAAGAUCCUUUUCUCCCGAUUGACAGAUGGAAAGGGAUCUUUGUCUCCCUUAAAGCAAGGGACAUCAAGAGUCUUUUUCCCUUGAGAGGCUGGCUUUGAAUUCAGUGUGUAGUUAAGAAUGACUUUGAACUUCUGAUCCUCCUGCCUCCACUUCCCCGGAUGGACAUGACUCCAUGGACUCCCCCCUCCCCCCAGAACUUGAGUCUGGUAUUGAGAACCCAAGAAGAGGGGGGAGGGGGAGAGGGAGUGGGAAGGGGAGGGAGAGGGAGAGGGAGCUCUUCACAGGGCUUUCUUGUAAGACCCUAGAGUCUAGCUGUAACUGUGACGGCCAGCACAUGCCAGGCACAGUGUGCUCUAUCCUGUGGCCAUGAUCUGAUGUGUUUGUUUAUUUGUUUGCCAGCUGGAGCAGGAAGCCUGACUGCCACACCGGCUUCCCUUUGCUUGGCUGAUCUCAGGGCCCACACCCUGCCCAAGAGGUAGACAGCAGCACUCGGUUCACCAAGGCAAGAUGUCGAUUCUCCGACCUGGACUUGGAUUCACUUCUAGGUCUGGGAACAGACAAGAUCCAAUCAAAAGUUCUGUCUAGGAGUGAGGAGAGAGAGGAGGUUUGGCCUGAUCAGCAGAUCUGCUGCUUAGAAACACAAACAAAUAAUGAGUGUAUUAAUGACUAAUGAGAACAGGUUUAUAGGCUCCCGACACUCACAGUCAUCUGUGGAAUCUCCCUGAAGCCUGUGAGAUAGGACAAUCGUUCUUUCUGUCCCGAAUCUUAGGGAGGUUAGCAGGAGUGGACGAGGUUAAAGGAAGUCCACGUUUACACUCAAACUCACCGAGUGUCACCUGCUCAGGGCUGAGUGUCCCCUCCUCCUGAGUGGGACUGCCAUUGAGUGUCUUGCCCACUCAUUGCAGGUGACCCUUAGCCACAGUUUCACAUGUCUCUCUACUCUCAUCGUACGUACCACAGGAUGGUCCUAGCAUUUUGGGUGCACUCAGGACCCAGAAGGUUCCUCACACUGGCCUAGACGGGUCCCAAGGACUGAAAAUCAUCCUGCUGGUGUCUGGGGACAGGGGCAGGAGCAGUGGUCUUAGAGUAAGACCGCCCUGGUGAAUCAGGUACUUACAAACCUAGUGACUUCCGGGUAAGUCCCCUGCUUCUGACCCAUUUCCUUCAGCUGUAAAGGGGUGGGGGGGGCAUAAGAGGAACAACAAUCUUAAUUUCUGAGCUGGGCAUGGAGGCUCAAGCUUGUAAGUUGAGCACUUGGAAGGCUGAGGCAGGAGACUUGGUACAAGUUUGAGACUAGCCUGUACUAUAUAGUGAGCCUCAGAGGAGUCUAAAAGACAGAGUGAGACUUGCCUCAAGAAGACCAUAAUUUAAAUAAAAACAAAGCAUCCUUUCCAAAAGGCUAGUAGUUACCACCACAACAGCCAUUAGGCUUGCUGUGAGAAGCCGCCAUAGCAUUCUUCCCCUUGGGUGGCCACCCAGGAAGGGCUGUGCAGGCAGGGGGUGUUGAGAGAUGGGCAGAGGACAAAGGGAUGGGGAGGAGGGGGGUAGCUUCUAGCAUUUUCUUCAACCAAGUAUCUGUGAAUGAAUCUGCAGUCCUUUCCGUUCUCAUUGCUUUGUGCAGUUAGCUCAGGAUGGCCCCAGCCAGUCUUACAGGUGAAGAAGCUGACGCCUAGGGGACAACAGUAGUAGUGGGUGCCCUUGCCCAGUCCAUGGAUAGACCCUAAGGUGUCUGCUGUAAUAUUGAAGAGCAUGAGGUCACGAGAGGGAAAUGUUGUGGUCAGAUUUCAUAGAAGUGCAUGUCCUAGUCUCACCACCUGGGAGCUGUUGUGUCUCUCUGUAAGGGCGCCUGCCAGCAAGCCUGAUGGUCUGAGUUCAAUCCCCGGAUCCACAGGACGGAAGGCGUGAACCAACUCCUACAACUUCCUCCCUGACUUCCACAACUGCACUGUGGCAUCUCUCUCUCCUCCUCCCUAGAAAUUAAUUCAUUAAAAUGUUAGGAAGACCAACCACCCACCCAACCUACCAACCAAAGAAUCAAACAAAGAGCCCAAACCAGCCCUACUGUAGUUCUAUCGCCUGGGGACAGGAUGGGCGGCCGCUUGUUUCUGGAUUCCCAGGCUAAUGUGCUUUGGCCCCUGUUCUCUUUGUUCUGCUCCUUGCCUCAGUGAGUUGGGGGUGGACAAUGGCUGUGCUUUUGCCUUCGUGGGUCCAUCCCAGUGCCCGUAGGCUCCUGCUGGUCCUGGGCUGGGUUUCUUGGGAAAACAGGCUGUUGAUUUGAGAGCAGUUUCUAGCAACUGAGCACAUCAACCCUCACACGACCUCUGCCGUCCCCCACUGCCCUGUCACUCAGGUGGCAGCCGCAGAGUCUCUCUGGAUCAGGCCCUGCCUGGGGCGGUUGAACUUUUGGCGAGCGUUUUACUUGGUGUUUUCAUUUCUUUUUGUGUUUUGGUUUUAGUUUUGUUUUCAGACACAGUCUCUCUCUGUAGCUCUCAUCGGCUACUCUCUCUCUCUACAGCUCAGACCGGCCUCAGACUAGUCAGGAUCCUUCUGCCUCAGCUUCCCGAGCUGGGUUUGCGGGCACGAGGACUUCACAGUGUCCAUCUCUGUGGCUGGAAGGCUGGUAGGGGAGGGUGCGAAGGGGUUAACUUCAUGUUGGCAGCCAUCCUCUCUUGGCAUCUGCAAGUGGACUGGCCCGAUCUCUGCUUUCCUGUUGCCGCAGCAAUGACACAGAACCCAGAGCAGACGUGGAUCUGGAGAUGGUUAACUGGCCAUGCUCCUGGCAGACUGUGGCCCACCAGAGAAACUGCUGGGAACUCAUGCUAGACUUCCCCGGCACUAGGGUGAGAAAAGGGGUGUGGAGCUGGGCUCCCCCAGAAAGUCUGGCUCUGGACAAAAGAGAUGGAGCUGCUGUGUAGGUCAAUGUAGUGCUCCUGGCUCCUGCGUUGGACUCAGUGCUGAGAAAGCAUGGCCCACAUCAAUCUCUGUUAGCUACACUGAACUGCUGGUUUAGUGGUUUUGAUUUUUCAUUUUGCCUGUCUGUCUGUCUGCCAUCGGUCUAUCUACCAAUCUAGACAAGAUCUCACUAUGUAGCCCAGGCUGGCCUGGAACAUGAUCCUCCUGCCCAAGCCUUGUUGGGAUUGCAAGCAGCAUGCUUGUUUUCUUCCUCCUGCUCCCCAACCUUCCCACUCUCCUACUCCUGGGGCCCUGCUGUCCUGGUGCCUCCCAUAGGGAUUUCUGAUUGUCUCUGGACCAGCCCCAACUCAGACCUCAGUUUGAAUGGCACUUCAGGAAGACUUCUGCACCUAGACUGGGGCCCUUUCAUGUUAUGGACUUCCUGGUGUAUGGACGAUCGGUCACCUUUCAGACAGCCACAUGCCUAGUCCCUCACAUUUCUCCACUCUCUCUGGCCACCCAUGAGGUGGAGGCUGAAUGUGGCUUCACUGCAUCGUGGCCUAAGCAGAGUGUCCGUCAGAGGGGCAGCACUGCUCACAACUUUGGAAGAGAGGGCGGUUGUGUGGGGGAGGGGCAGGUCGCCGGGUCACCAGGUGCCCUCUGGGAGCUGCGGGCAGGGGGAUUUAGCCAAUCCCGAGGUUAGGUCUCUCUUGCCAGGACGGCUUUGCUCUCCCCGGUGGUUUUCAUUAUUUUUCAUUCCCAGACUAUUUUGGAAGCUGGCUGCCAUGGGAACUGAGUCUUUGGAAGGCCAGGCCUCUUUUCCUCCUACCCCAGGCCCCCCUCCACCUCUAUUCCUUCUUAAUUGGUUUUUAGUUCUCUGGCUUUCUGGCCGUCUGUUUAUUUUGAUUGCAACUCCACAGAACAAAUCUUUAAUGAACCAGCUUGUGGGGGGAGCCAUUAGCAGCCGCCUGCCUCCAGGGAGUGAGGGAGACGCCCUGCCUGGGUCCCAGCCUGGGCUUCCACUCAGUGAGGAAGUGGUGGCCAGGUACUGGGUGGCAACCUGCGCAGGGAGGGACUCAGCCUUUCUUCCUUCAGGUGUAGUCUGAAGAUGGGAACAGUUUGUUCUCCAUAAGCUGUCGGAAGCCUCAACUGAGGUGACCUCAUUAGCACUCUUGUACACUGAGAAGGGUUGGGCUUCCCAGAUCCCCUGAGUUCCUCCUGUCCAGACACAGGAGUAAGGCUGAGGAACCGAGAAGCCAGUUAUCUGGCCAGCAAACCUCCAAAGAAGACACAGAUAAAUGAAGCAGCUUCCCCGAGUGUCACUGUAUUCAGGGUGAACUGGCAGCUGAGGGUCCUGACUGGGCUCCGCUGGCCCCAGCUUUCUGAGCAAAUGCCUUUGUCCGAGUUGUGUGGGCCUGACACCAUUUAUGAAUUUACUCUACUGACUGGGCAUGAUCACUUCCAUCGAAAGAGCUUUGCAAACAGGAAAUGCAUAUGAAUGUGGUAUUGUUGUGGGCGUGUAGUACAGAACGAUCCCUGCAGCUUCCUCACCUUGGACAAGCCCUGUCUCCAGUUGCCCUCACAGAUCUGUUCACUUGUCUGUCCCUCACUGACCUCAUUCUGUCCAAGACACUCAUCUCAGGAAUACGGAUGGGGGCCGUCGGGAUGGGAACUCCCUUCCUUUAAGAUCAAGGCCCCUGGCCUCCAGACUUGGGGCUGCCUCUUUGAGAAACUCUGGGGUGGGCUUCAGCCUCUGUCCCAUCCCUGCCUUCUAUCCAUCUGACCUUCCUUUCCUACUCCAUACCAUGGGCCCAUGCGAUUUCUUAGGACAGGAGGCCUCUCUCCCUGCCUGUCUUCCCUAGUCCUGGUUGGCUGUCCAUUCAUCUCUGAUGGAGAUCCCCUGGUUUUUCUCAGGAGCUCGGACUGUUGGCAUGGAUUUAGCUUCUAACUGCCAUCUCCAGUAAGUCAGAGAAACAGGAAAGCCCCCGAUCUGCUGCUCUAGUGACUGGUGUGUUUCUCUUGUUAAUGUGGUCACUCCAGAAGACACUGAUGUCUGCUUGGAUUGUCCUCUGUCCACACUGCCUCCCAAGUGUCAAGCAAUGGAAAAAGAACAAGCGGUAUCCUCAACGUUUAGAAGAGCUUCGAUCUCUCUGGUCCAACAAGACAAACUCCCUUCGUGAGGUCUCUAUGACUUGGUACCCAGCUUCUAAGGCUGUCUGUCAUCUCAGAUGCUCCAGUCAGGCUCGUUAGAAGCAGAUAUCUCCAAAUACAUCGGGAUAUUCAACCUA